ACUCACAGCCGGCUCCAACAGCCACAGGCCGACACGCUCUCGACAAAGGAGGAGCUACGAGCAAUUGCACCGGCCCCUUAUAGAAGGUAAUGCAGGAUGGUGACAUUCUUCCACUUGGAAUAUUCUCCUCGUUUUCCAGCCAUUGUAGAUGGGUUAUCUGCAGCUUCCAGAAGAUGAAUGCAAAAUAAAACAAUACAGGUGGCAAGAAUCACAAGUGAAAGAAAGGAAAAUAAAAUUACUGAAGUCCAUAGAAAUUAAUUUAAAUUGUAUUGGAAGCUUACUCAGAGACUGAAAGUUCCUCAGAUUCAUAGGGAUUUGUCCAUUGGAGCAUCAUCAGAACACCUUGUCCAUAUAAAUGUUGAUCUUGCAA